rnacentral:lncRNA from 1 species
UUUGAUUCUGUUUAUGCACACAGAACUUGUUAUUCAUUGCCUUUGAAAUUCUAUGGGUCUGAGUGGCUCUGCAGCAGAGUAGUGGACAACUCACCGCAUAAUAGCAACGCCCACAGAACAGAAGACAGGCUGGAAAUGCUCGAGAGGCGAACUAACUUCCUGUUUACCAAAUUAUAAACCAUGUGGGCAAUUUGAUGGACAGAUAUUCAUUUUCCUCAUUUUGGUAA